GACGAGGGAUCCUAGCGUUGCUCGGAAUUAUUGGGCGUAAAGCGGGUGUAGGUGGCUUGGUAAGUCAGAUGUGAAAGCCCUGGGCUUAACCCAGGAAGUGCAUUUGAUACUGCUAAGCUUGAGUGCGAGAGAGGUUAAUAGAAUACCUGGUGUAGUGGUGAAAUACGUAGAUAUCAGGUGGAACACCGGAGGCGAAGGCGGUUAACUGGUCGACACUGACACUGAGACCCGAAAGUGCGGGGAUCAAACAGG
rnacentral:rRNA from 1 species